rnacentral:lncRNA from 1 species
GCCUCCCAAAGUGCUGGGAUUACAGGCGUGAGCCACCGCGCCCGGCCAGUGCCUGAUUUAAGAGCUAUACAUGCAUUUACUCGCUUCAUCUUAACAACGCUGUGAGAUAGGUAUGGUAGUAAUAUCAUCCCCACUUUUUGGAUGACGAAACUGAAGUUUGGGGAGGUUACGUAACUUCUAUCACACAGUUAACUCGUAGCAGGUCUGGGGGUCUGGGGUUGGCACCCUGCGGUCCUGCUCCAGAGCCUGUGCACUGUGCUGUACAGCCUCUUUAUAUCCCAAGUCUUUCCUGGUGGUAGUGUUUCAUGUUUGUGAUUAUGCCAAGUUAGCCUUAAUGUCUAUUUGGUCAGAACAUCCUUACUGGCUAACAGCAUCUCAUUUUCAACUUUCCUAGUCUCACUGAGGUACCACAGGCCAAUUCCGUACAAACUCAUUCCUUAGCUGGUAGAAUAGCUAUCUUGGGUUUGAAUUUCAAAGUCUCACGUAAGCACCCUUAAUUGUUUUUUGUUAACAAUUGUACCCACUGAUAUCAAGGAACAAUCUGAGACAAAGGAAAAAGUAAACAGGGCUAUUAGAAGGAAUUUAAUGGUUUCUUCUUCUCGCCAUCUGUCUCAGAAUCAGGAGGGCAAAGGCUUCGGAUUGGGGCUUCUUUGUGCUGAUGAGGACAGACACCCAGAGGGCAGGUCCAAGCAGCUCUCUGCCUUCCAAGGCAGGUGCGCAUGAAGCAGGGAUGCCCCUCGUGAAAUGUCAAGGUAGAAGCAACCCAUGAGGAAACUCUAUCUUGGGGUCUAGUCCUGAUGGAUCAAGGGGUGGCCAGAAGUUUGCUCUGGGUCCCAGUUUUCAGAAUAUUGACGGGGAUGGAGGUCCCACAAUACCCACCAUUCUGUGUGGUCUCCUGGCUCAUCCUCUUCACAUGGUCUUCAGUAUGUCAGAUACAAUUUCUCAGAUCUCUAGGUCAACCCUCAACUUAUGUUUAACAUUUUAAACUAACAUCCUCUGCCAUCAACUGAAACUGUCUCAUAAGAAUAAACUUAUGUUAGAUGAGAGAAAUAUAUUUUUCUGAUACUUAGAGGUACUUAUUCUUAGAACUUUAUUACUCUAAUACAUCAUGAUCUAUACUGUUAAAUCCAACUAAAAUUUGUUCUGAGAAAGCCUUGGUAUUAAUACUUGCUUCCUUGAGUUCUUCAGUCUGAAUUGUAACUUAACUUAGUGUGUAACAAACUGAAAACCUGAGGAGUUUCUUCUGUAACAAAAGCUGAGCCUCAGCCCAUCACUCUAGCCACACUUCAACCAUUGACAGGCAGCCAACUGUUCAAACUCCCUUAACAUACUGGCAAAGUCAAGCUGGAACCAGUCCAGCUGUUUAUGUACCUCAUUUUCCUUUUUCUUUUUUUGGUCCAUAAAUCUUAUCUGCUCAUGUGGUAGCCCCAAAGUUUCUCUGAAUCUGUUUUGAUUCUGAAGGCUGUUCGAUUUGCAAAUCAUUUUUUUCCUUGCUCAAUUAAACUCUGUUAAAUGUGUCUAAAGUUUUUCUUUCAUCAGAUCUGGAGUAGAAGUGAAGAGUGAAGUACAAUUCCAGUGACUCCUUGGAACAGCAGGCAACGAAGCGGGGCACCUGCAGAGCCAAUUGUGUGCGCUCUCUUGUUUGUAACUGGAGGUUUGUGGAGCCUGGAAAUUGGGUCUUCGGGAAAUAACAUCAGAGGAAGACUGCCCUUGAACCCUGUUGGAAAGGACCACACCAAGUUCUUCUCACACCCACACCUGUAACCUUGGGUCCACAUCUCACAACACAAAAGGGCCCCUUCAGACUCUUAGAACACCUGUUGGAGACUUUAAGGUAAAGCUGACCAGGAAUACUUCUCCCCGAAAGUGGACAGCAUCCUAGAUGCGGACAGCUUUCCCAAGAUCACAGAUCAAGACUUUUCUGCCAUUAUGAAAGCCUUGUGCUUUUUGCUUUUUUCCUCUAAUCUUUUAUCCCAAUACUUUCCUUUUUCCUACAGGAAAAUCCAUGGGACCAUAAUCACUAGAUGGCAUUAGCUCUACCUUAUGUUCUAGCACAAAACCAGAGUAACUGUUGGGUUUGUGGGCAAAUGCCAAAAAAUCAGAAAACAAUUCCAUUGAUGCCUCUCCAUGUUCCCAAUGGCAGUGAUUCAAACUCCAAAGGAGGAGGGAGUGGAAACCUAUCCUUGAUAUUCUAAAAAUGACUGCUUCAUUUGCUUUCCUGCACUCGCUAGAAACAGCACUUUAACUUUUCCAAUGAAUAACCUGGUUGUUACCAAACAUAGAAAACCUAUCCAAGUGAUGCCUGCAAAAGGUAUAUUGUGCUUCUAGACAUCACGCACUUGAGACCUGGGAAUUAGCUAUAUGGAUACAAGUAAUUGCUUGUAUAAUGUUACCAGAUUAAAUCCAGUAGGAGGUUGGGAACAGUGGCUCAUGCCUGUAAUUCUAGCACUUUAGGAGGCCAAGGUGGGCAGAUCACUUGAGGUCAGGAGUUCCAGACCAGCCUGGCCAACAUGGUGAAACCCUGUCUCUACUAAAAAUACAAAAGUUAGCCAGGUAUGGUGCUGGGCGCCUGUAGUCCCAGUUACUCCAGAGCCUGGGGCAGAGAAUCGCUUGAGCCCAGAGGCAGAGGUUGCAGUAAGCCGAGAUCGCACCACUGCACUCCAGCCUGGGCGACACAGCAAAACUGUCUCAAAAAAAAAAAAAAAGAAAAGAAAAAAAAAUCCAGUAGGGUCAUUUUUUUACUAAAUGUGGCUAUACACCCUUACCGCAUGCUAUAAACGAACCCAAAAAAGUACAUUACCCACUGAACUUUGUUCAGGAGCUAUGCAGAUUUACAGACAAAUAAAUUUAACUGACCCUUGCACAAAUGCAACUAGGUAACCCUCUUUUCCAAUCCCCAUGGGCUUCUAUUGGGUCUGAGGAAAAUCUGCUUCCUGUCUGGUUUGGAUGUUGCUAUUUAGCCUGGCUCACUCCGGCCAUUCAAAUAGCUUCCCCUACAAAUUCCCAUAACAGCUCCUAGGAUCAGAGGCCAAAAUAAUCAAUAACUGAAAUUACCCCCAACCUUAAAAUAGAUAAACUAUUUUCAACUAAGAAGAAACUCCGGUGGGGCUCCUGGGGGCUCACUUUUGGCAGUAGUGGGGUAUCAGUUGUAUAGAAUUUAAAGAUAAUCUGUAAAUUGGGAAAAAUCUUGGAUUUUGUAGACAGUCAGACCUCCCAGGGGUUCAGAUGGGUAGAUGUCCCUCUCUGAAAGGUGGAUAACAAUAUAUGCAUUCAACCAAAACACUUAAUGGAACAUCAUGCAACUUUAGGGCUCCUUUUUGCUCUAGUUGGGGGCUUAUAUUUGGUACUGAGGAAAACUGAGUAUCUCUCCCCUGAUUUUGUUACUACAGAAGGCUUAAUUUAAAAGGUAGCCUUAGAUACUGCCACCAAACAUACUAAGGAAAUUAAUCUCCUAAAAGAAGGGAACACGGCUAGGUGCAGUGGUUCACGCCUGUAAUCCCAGCACUUUG